rnacentral:sRNA from 1 species
GCUGGGCACAGUGGCACAUACCUGUAAUCCCAGUGGCUUGGGAGGCUGAGGCAGGAGGAUCUCGUGUUCAAAGCCAGCCUCAGCAAAAGCAAGGCACUUAGCAACUCAGUGAGACUCUGUCUCUA